rnacentral:rRNA from 1 species
CCUACGGGAGGCAGCAGUGAGGAAUAUUGGUCAAUGGGCGUAAGCCUGAACCAGCCAAGUCGCGUGAGGGAUGAAGGUUCUAUGGAUUGUAAACCUCUUUUAUAAGGGAAUAAAGUGCGGGACGUGUCCCGGUUAGUAUGUACUUUAUGAAUAAGGAUCGGCUAACUCCGUGCCAGCAGCCGCGGUAAUACGGAGGAUCCGAGCGUUAUCCGGAUUUAUUGGGUUUAAAGGGUGCGUAGGCGGCCUUUUAAGUCAGCGGUGAAAGUCUGUGGCUCAACCAUAGAAUUGCCGUUGAAACUGGAAGUCUUUAGUAUAUUUGAGGCAGGCGGAAUGCGUGGUGUAGCGGUGAAAUGCUUAGAUAUCACGCAGAACCCCGAUUGCGAAGGCAGCCUGCCAAGCCAUGACUGACGCUGAUGCACGAAAGCGUGGGGAUCAAACAGGAUUAGAUACCCGGGUAGUC